GGAGAGAGCGCGUAGAGGUGGAGGCUGGCGGUUGGGUGGCGCGGAUCCCGAGGUCAGGGAGGGAGAUGCCAAAAAUGGCAAGGUAGGGGGCUUAAAUAGGAAGGGGGCCAGCUUUAGGGUUUUCAAGGGUGAUCUCAACCGCGCGAUCGCAAUCGAACGACUUCGGUUGUGGGGAUUGGCUAGGUGGGCUGUGUUAGAUGGGAUAGGUAGGGAUGAAAGGGAGAUUUAGCAGCCCGUGACAAAUUUUGUAAAACCGUAAAAUGUUCGACGAAUAAACCGAUGACGAUGCCACUACGGUCGACCGUUCGGGUAUCAAACAGACUCCGAUUGCGACGAAAUUUGGCAGGCGGCCUACCUACACUAUAAUAAGACCGCACACUAAGUUUCAACCCAAUCAGAGAAAGUUGUAUACACACUUUUAAAAACA
rnacentral:lncRNA from 1 species